UACGUAGGUGGCAAGCGUUGUCCGGAUUUACUGGGCGUAAAGGGCGCGUAGGCGGCAUGACAAGUCACUUGUGAAAUCUCCGGGCUUAACUCGGAACGGUCAAGUGAUACUGUCGCGCUAGAGUGCGGAAGGGGCAAUCAGAAUUCUUGGUGUAGCGGUGAAAUGCGUAGAUAUCAAGAGGAAUACCUGAGGUGAAGACGGGUUGCUAGGCCGACACUGACGCUGAAGCGCGAAAGCGUGGGGAGCAAACAGG
rnacentral:rRNA from 1 species